rnacentral:tRNA from 1 species
GAUGGUAUAGCUCAAGUGGUAGAGUGCAUGCUUAGCAUGCAUGAGGUCCUGGGUUCAAUCCCCAGUACCUCCU